rnacentral:rRNA from 1 species
CUUAGUACGGCGAGUGAAGCGGUAAAAGCUCAAAUUUGAAAUCUGGUACUUUCAGUGCCCGAGUUGUAAUUUGUAGAAUUUGUCUUUGAUUAGGUCCUUGUCUAUGUUCCUUGGAACAGGACGUCAUAGAGGGUGAGAAUCCCGUUUGGCGAGGAUACCUUUUCUCUGUAAGACUUUUUCGAAGAGUCGAGUUGUUUGGGAAUGCAGCUCAAAGUGGGUGGUAAAUUCCAUCUAAAGCUAAAUAUUGGCGAGAGACCGAUAGCGAACAAGUACAGUGAUGGAAAGAUGAAAAGAACUUUGAAAAGAGAGUGAAAAAGUACGUGAAAUUGUUGAAAGGGAAGGGCAUUUGAUCAGACAUGGUGUUUUUUGCAUGCACUCGCCUCUCGUGGGCUUGGGCCUCUCAAAAAUUUCACUGGGCCAACAUCAAUUCUGGCAGUAGGAUAAAUCAUUAAGAAUGUAGCUACCUCGGUAGUGUUAUAGCUUAUUGGAAUACUGCUAGCUGGGAUUGAGGACUGCGCUUCGGCAAGGAUGUUGGCAUAAUGGUUAAAUGCCGCCCGUCUUGAA